UCGAGGAUCUUCGGCAAUGGGCGAAAGCCUGACCGAGCGACGCCGCGUGCGGGAUGAAGGCCUUCGGGUUGUAAACCGCUGUCAGUGGGGAGGAAGGCUCCGUGAAGAACGGGGUUUGACCUAUCCGCAAAGGAAGUACGGGCUAAGUUCGUGCCAGCAGCCGCGGUAAGACGAACCGUACGAACGUUAUUCGGAAUUACUGGGCUUAAAGGGUGCGUAGGCUGUGCAGUAAGUCGGGUGUGAAAUACCUCAGCUCAACUGAGGAAUUGCGCCCGAAACUACUGUGCUAGAGGAAGAUAGAGGUGAGCGGAACUUAGGGUGGAGCGGUGAAAUGCGUUGAUAUCCUAAGGAACACCGGUGGCGAAAGCGGCUCACUGGAUCUUUUCUGACGCUGAGGCACGAAAGCUAGGGUAGCGAACGGGAUUAGAUACCCCCGUAGUCC
rnacentral:rRNA from 1 species